ACGUAGGUGGCAAGCGUCGUCCGGAUUUAUUGGGUUUAAAGGGUGCGUAGGCGGUUUUUUAAGUCGGUGGUGAAAUACGGCAGCUCAACUGUCGAGGUGCCAUUGAUACUGGGAAACUUGAGUACUGAUGAGGUAGGCGGAAUGGACGGUGUAGCGGUGAAAUGCUUAGAUAUCGGGAAGAACACCAGUGGCGAAAGCGCUCUACUGGGCCAUAACUGACACUGAGGGACGAAAGCUAGGGGAGCGAAAGGGA
rnacentral:rRNA from 1 species